AUGGCCCCCGCGUACACUCCGGUUCUGAACGCGCCGCCCGCACUCACCUGACCACCGCUCGCUCCGUUUUGUUAGCC
rnacentral:sRNA from 1 species